rnacentral:lncRNA from 10 species
CUAAGCUUCAAACCCCACAAGCCUGGGUCUGUUCCGAGGUGGGUGCUCAGAUGGCAGGAAACAGCUGACACAUCAGCAGGCCGGGAGAUGUGGAAGGAAGAGAUGGCAAACUACCAGCAAGGCACCAACAAAGCCUGGGCAAGUUCAACGUGAGUCUCCAGUGGUGGGGAUGUGUUUCAUUAUCCUCCUGGUGCCCUCUGAUAAGGCUUAGACUGUUUCGUGCUCCUUUUCUUUUCUUGAUCAAGACAGAAGACAGCGGACAGUUGGGAUGGAAAGAAAACUGGGACAGAUACUGCCUGUGCUGCCUCUUCCCCUUUCUUCCUGCCUUGAAUGUUGGCAUGAUGUCCAGAGCAGAAACCCGGAUAGUGUUGUGACUCUCAACCAAUGUCAGCAGCCUGUAGUUCCAGAAUCUUUACUGGAGAGGAAAAACUCCACUAUUAGUUGAGUUUUCUUGCAGCCCAAACAUUUGUAACAGAGAAGCCG